rnacentral:rRNA from 1 species
AUUGAACGCUGGCGGCAUGCUUUACACAUGCAAGUCGAACGGCAGCGCGGGCUUCGGCCUGGCGGCGAGUGGCGAACGGGUGAGUAAUACAUCGGAACGUGCCCAGUAGUGGGGGAUAGCUCGGCGAAAGCCGGAUUAAUACCGCAUACGACCUGAGGGUGAAAGCGGGGGAUCUUCGGACCUCGCGCUAUUGGAGCGGCCGAUGGCAGAUUAGCUAGUUGGUGGGGUAAAGGCCAACCAAGGCGACGAUCUGUAGCUGGUCUGAGAGGACGACCAGCCACACUGGGACUGAGACACGGCCCAGACUCCUACGGGGGGCAGCAGUGGGGAAUUUUGGACAAUGGGCGAAAGCCUGAUCCAGCAAUGCCGCGUGUGUGAUGAAGGCCUUCGGGUUGUAAAGCACUUUUGGCGGGAACGAAAAGGACUGUGCCAAUACCACGGUUCGAUGACGGUACCCGCAGAAUAAGCACCGGCUAACUACGUG